UUUUGGAUAUUGGGGGAAAGCCUGAUCCAGCCAUCCCGCAUGUAUGAUGAAGGUCGUCGGGUUGUAAAGUACUUUUGUCAGAGAAGAAAAGGUAUCCUCUAAUACGGGAUACUGCAGACGUUAGCUGCAGACUACGCACCGGCUAACUACGUGCCAGCAGCCGCGGUAAUACGUAGGGUGCAAGCGUUAAUCGGAAUUACUGGGCGUAAAGCGUGUGUAGGCGGUUCGGAAAGAAAAAUGUGAAAUCCAAGGGCUCAACCUUGGAACUGCAUUUUUAACUGCCGAGCUAGAGUAUGUCAGAGGGAGGUAGAAUUCCACGUGCAGCAGUGAAAUGCGUAGAUAUGUGGAGGAAUACCGAUGGCGAAGGCAGACCCCUGGGAUAAUACUGACGCUCAGACACGAAAGCGUGGGGAGCAAACAGG
rnacentral:rRNA from 1 species